CACUUCCGCUCGCUGUGGCGACAUCUUACCGGCGGGCGGCGGCGCUGCGGAGCGGCGGCCGAGGAGGGGGCGAGGCUGGCAUGGCUCCACCGGAGCGGCGGGACCCGCGUCCGCUCUGCCGCCUGGUGCUGGCUGCUGUGGUGCUCCUUUCCUGGGGCUUCCUCGUCUACGGGGCACGGGUCGCUGCCCAGCGGCAGCUGGAGAGCGAGCUCCUGGCCCGGGGGCUGCCCUAGGCUAUGGCGGAGCCCGUGAGUCACCACCAGGAAGGAGCUUGGCAUUGGCUCCGAGGGUACGGAGGAAUCCAUCAGAAGGCUGGAGUAGCCCUGUGGUCAGUUUGGCGAACAAAUGAUAAGUAGCUUUUAGGAAAGCAAAUAAAGCAUAAACAGUUACUAGGAAAAAAAGCUC